GAUGAACGCUGGCGGCGUGCCUAAUACAUGCAAGUCGAGCGAACAGAUGAGGAGCUUGCUCCUCUGACGUUAGCGGCGGACGGGUGAGUAACACGUGGAUAACCUACCUAUAAGACUGGGAUAACUUCGGGAAACCGGAGCUAAUACCGGAUAAUAUAUUGAACCACAUGGUUCAAUAGUGAAAGACGGAUUUGCUGUACCUUAAGAAUGGAUCCGCGCCGCAUUAGCUAGUUGGUAAGGUAACGGCUUACCAAGCCAACGAAGCGUAGCCGACCUGAGAGGGUGUUCGGCCACACUGGAACUGGACCACGGUCCAGCCUCCUACGGGAGCCAGCAGUAGGGAAUCUUCCGCAAUGGGCGAAAGCUUGCCGGAGCAACGCCCCGUGAGUGAUGAAGUUCUUCGGAUCGUAAAACUCUGUUAUUAGGGAAGAACAAAUGUGUAAGUAACUAUGCACGUCUUGACGGUACCUAAUCAGAAAGCCACGGCUAACUACGUG
rnacentral:rRNA from 1 species